GCCAGCGUGGCUCAGUGGUUGAGCAUCAACCUAUGAACCAGGAGGUCCCGGGUUCGAUUCCCGGUCAGGGCA
rnacentral:tRNA from 1 species